rnacentral:rRNA from 1 species
UAGGGAAUCUUCGGCAAUGGACGAAAGUCUGACCGAGCAACGCCGCGUGAGUGAAGAAGGUUUUCGGAUCGUAAAACUCUGUUGUCAGAGAAGAACAAGGACGUUAGCAACCGAACGCCCCCUGACGGCAUCUAACCAGAAAGCCACGGCUAACUACGUGCCAGCAGCCGCGGUAAUACGUAGGUGGCAAGCGUUGUCCGGAUUUAAUGGGCGUAAAGCGAGCGCAGGCGGUUUCUUAAGUCUGAUGUGAAAGCCCCCGGCUCAACCGGGGAGGGUCAUGGGAAACUGGGAGACUUGAGUGCAGAAGAGGGGAGUGGAAUUCCCUGUGUAGCGGUGAAAUGCGUAGAUAUAUGGAGGAACACCAGUGGCGAAGGCGGCUCUCUGGUCUGUUACUGACGAUGAGGCAAGAAAGCGUGGGGAGCAAACAGG